rnacentral:rRNA from 1 species
CGUUAAGUCUGGUCCGGCGGCCGGGGUAAUUCAGGGGUGCCAAGGGUUGUUCGGGUUCACUGGGGGGAAAGGGGGGGUGGGUGUGGAGGUAAGGCGGAUGUGAAAGCUGGGGGCUGAACGCCGAAAUGGAAUUGGAAACUACCUUGGUCGAGGGUUGGAGGGGGGACUGGAAUACUUGGUGUAGCAGUGAAAUGCGUAGAUAUCAAGUGGAACACCAGUGGCGAAGGCGAGUCCCUGGACAACUCCUGACACUGAGGCACGAAAGCUAGGGGAGCAAACAGGAUUAGAUACCCGGUAUUC